rnacentral:rRNA from 1 species
GAUGAACGCUGGCGGCGUGCCUAAUACAUGCAAGUCGAGCGAACGGACGAGAAGCUUGCUUCUCUGAUGUUAGCGGCGGACGGGUGAGUAACACGUGGAUAACCUACCUAUAAGACUGGGAUAACUUCGGGAAACCGGAGCUAAUACCGGAUAAUAUUUCGAACCGCAUGGUUCAAAAGUGAAAGACGGUCUUGCUGUCACUUAUAGAUGGAUCCGCGCUGCAUUAGCUAGUUGGUAAGGUAACGGCUUACCAAGGCAACGAUGCAUAGCCGACCUGAGAGGGUGAUCGGCCACACUGGAACUGAGACACGGUCCAGACUCCUACGGGAGGCAGCAGUAGGGAAUCUUCCGCAAUGGGCGAAAGCCUGACGGAGCAACGCCGCGUGAGUGAUGAAGGUCUUCGGAUCGUAAAACUCUGUUAUUAGGGAAGAACAUAUGUGUAAGUAACUGUGCACAUCUUGACGGUACCUAAUCAGAAAGCCACGGCUAACUACGUGCCAGCAGCCGCGGUAAUACGUAGGUGGCAAGCGUUAUCCGGAAUUAUUGGGCGUAAAGCGCGCGUAGGCGGUUUUUUAAGUCUGAUGUGAAAGCCCACGGCUCAACCGUGGAGGGUCAUUGGAAACUGGAAAACUUGAGUGCAGAAGAGGAAAGUGGAAUUCCAUGUGUAGCGGUGAAAUGCGCAGAGAUAUGGAGGAACACCAGUGGCGAAGGCGACUUUCUGGUCUGUAACUGACGCUGAUGUGCGAAAGCGUGGGGAUCAAACAGGAUUAGAUACCCUGGUAGUCCACGCCGUAAACGAUGAGUGCUAAGUGUUAGGGGGUUUCCGCCCCUUAGUGCUGCAGCUAACGCAUUAAGCACUCCGCCUGGGGAGUACGACCGCAAGGUUGAAACCCAAAGGAAUUGACGGGGACCCGCACAAGCGGUGGAGCAUGUGGUUUAAUUCGAAGCAACGCGAAGAACCUUACCAAAUCUUGACAUCCUUUGACAACUCUAGAGAUAGAGCCUUCCCCUUCGGGGGACAAAGUGACAGGUGGUGCAUGGUUGUCGUCAGCUCGUGUCGUGAGAUGUUGGGUUAAGUCCCGCAACGAGCGCAACCCUUAAGCUUAGUUGCCAUCAUUAAGUUGGGCACUCUAAGUUGACUGCCGGUGACAAACCGGAGGAAGGUGGGGAUGACGUCAAAUCAUCAUGCCCCUUAUGAUUUGGGCUACACACGUGCUACAAUGGACAAUACAAAGGGCAGCGAAACCGCGAGGUCAAGCAAAUCCCAUAAAGUUGUUCUCAGUUCGGAUUGUAGUCUGCAACUCGACUACAUGAAGCUGGAAUCGCUAGUAAUCGUAGAUCAGCAUGCUACGGUGAAUACGUUCCCGGGUCU